ACGUACACUCCUACGGGAGGCAGCAGUGGGGAAUUUUACGCAAUGGGGGAAACCCUGACGUAGCGACACCGCGUGAGCGAAGAAGCCCUUUGGGGUGUAAAGCUCUGUCAGCUGGAACGAAAACAAUGACGGUACCAGCAGAGGAAGCAUCGGCUAACUACGUGCCAGCAGCCGCGGUAAGACGUAGGAUGCGAGCGUUGUCCGGAUUUAUUGGGCGUAAAGAGUUCGUAGGUGGUUUGUUAAGUUUGGUGUUAAAGAUCGGGGCUCAACCCUGGGACUGCACUGAAUACUGGCAGACUCGAGUGUGGUAGAGGCUAGUGGAAUUCCCAGUGUAGCGGUGAAAUGCGUAGAUAUUGGGAAGAACACCGGUGGCGUAGGCGACUAGCUGGGCCAUAACUGACGCUGAGGAACGAAAGCCAGGGGAGCGAAUGGGAUUAGAAACCCUAGUAGUCCCAUGAU
rnacentral:rRNA from 1 species